GGUGGCUCAGCGGUAGAGCACUUGCCUUGCAUGCAGGAGGCCCUGGGUUCGAUUCCUCAGCACCA
rnacentral:tRNA from 1 species